GGCUAGGUCUUGGAGGCUGGUGUAAGGCGAUGCGGGUGAAGGCAGGAGGCUGAUGGAAAGACUGGGGGGAAGAAAAGCCGAAAUGGAUUCACGGUGCCUUGGAUGAAGGACGAGAGGGGAACUGCAAGCUCCUUCAACUGGUUCUGUCCGGUGAGAAGUGAUCAAGCUUGGGCUGACAAGAGGCUCAGGGAGCCCUCACGUUCUUUCGCUUUUUUACCUGCCAAUCAAACUGCUACAAGACAACACCCUGAUCUGGCAUGGACAUCACAUUAUUAUGCAUAAUCGCCAGCCACAGUUAGUUUAUUGUCUGGAUAAGUACAGCAGGCUUAAUUAAAAUAAAGCUGUAAAUAAAUGCAACCAAUGAUAACACAAUUGUAAUGUAUUUCCAUAGCUUAUUUAUGUGAUAAAAGCAAUUAAUAAAAGACCUAGCCAACCCCUUUAACCUCUUAAAUACAUUAUUAUAGAGUUCAUGCACAAACACAUGCAUCUGAGAAUGUGUAAAAUCUGUUAUAUAUCCUCCCAAGGAAAAAAAUUGUGCCUUGAGAGAAAGGCAGCGAGAUUUAAAAGAUUUGUGUCUAUAACCAUCUGUUAUUAGUAUUUAUGUUAACAAACAUACACUACCCUUAUCCACACCAAUUCCCUGGUUGUUUCUUCAAACAAUUAUCCACAAGCUUUUUAAAGUUUUUAGAAUAAUGCUAUUAAGCAGACCGAUGCAUACACAAUCAUAAAGUGAAUGCUUGGUCUGCCCUUUGUGGCGUCUGGACAAUCAUAAUUCAUUCACAUGUUGAAUCUCAUAAUUUGUACCUAUUUUUCCUAUGGUCUAACCUCCCACUUAUCUCGAGGUUGUAUGUAUAUUUCUAAGUUAGGCAAAUUAAAUCUGAUUCUUAUGAUUUGGUUCCGCAGCUUAUAAGAUAUGUUAACUUUUCUUUUGUUUAGAUUAUGUAUAAUUAGUC
rnacentral:sRNA from 1 species